GGCAGCGUAGCUCAGUUGGUAGAGCAGGGGACUCAUAAGCCCUUGGUCGCUAGUUCAAGUCUAGCCGCUGCCA
rnacentral:tRNA from 1 species